rnacentral:SRP_RNA from 1 species
GCCGGGCGUGGUGGCUCACGCCUGUAAUCUCAGCACUUUGGGAGGCUGAGGCAGGCGGAUCACUUGAGGUCAGGAGCUUGAAACCAGCCUGGCCAACAUGGUGAGACCCUGUCUCUA